UACGGAGGAUGCGAGCGUUAUCCGGAUUUAUUGGGUUUAAAGGGUGCGUAGGCGGAAUAUCAAGUCAGCGGUAAAAAUUCGGGGCUCAACCCCGUCGUGCCGUUGAAACUGAUGUUCUUGAGUGGGCGAGAAGUAUGCGGAAUGCGUGGUGUAGCGGUGAAAUGCAUAGAUAUCACGCAGAACUCCGAUUGCGAAGGCAGCAUACCGGCGCCCAACUGACGCUGUAGCACGAAAGCGUGGGUGUCGAACAGG
rnacentral:rRNA from 1 species